UAUUGUGGCCAGUUUUUUAUUUGUAGAGGAAAAUAGAGUACCAGGAGAGAACCACAACCUUCAGCAGGAAUAUUGGCAAUCUUUGUCAAUUAAGAUCAGAGUCAUUGCAGUGAUUGCACAUCUUGUCACAAUCAGGAUUUAAUUUAAACUAACAACCUCAGAGUCGAAAAGUUAGUGAUCACUCUGGAUGAUCUGCUAAGAUCACUCAACCACAGAGGUCCCAUGACUUAUCAUUAAAAGAAGAGAAGUUAAGAAAUGGAACAGCAAUAUUCAGAACAUUACAAUUAAAUUUCAAUUUCUGUGCUGGGAGUGUCGCCAAGAGCAAUUUGUAUUCAUUUCAUAAUAUCUUUGCUCCAUUCUUAUUAUGUAAUUUAAAGAUCUGUUCAUUGUAUUUAUAACUCUGUUAAUUGUAUCUUAUCUAUGUAGCUAUAUACCGUGAUAUCUAUUCAAUGGAGGAAACAAGAUGUAUUUUUGUAUUAAAGGAACUUGAAUCUUGCAGCAAAUGGCUGAUCGAUAAUAAAUUAUCACUUCAUUCGGGGAAAACAGAAACUAUUCUGUUUGGGUCAAAACGUAAAUUGUCUAAAAUUCGUAACUUCGACGUUACUUGUAAUAAUCACACAAUUUCAUAGCAAAAUUGUGUGAAGUAUUUAGGCCUGAAUAUUGAUAAUUCUGUUUCUGGAGAAAAUUUUUAAAUAAUAUUAUUCAAAAGAUAAAUUCAAGAUUGAAGUUCCUAUACAGACAGGCCAAAUGUUUAUCAGAACAAUCUAGAAAGACUUUAGUUACAGUUCUAAUUCAAUGUCAUUUUGACUAUGCCUGUUCUGCAUGGUAUGCUGGUGUCAGCAAAUAAUAUAAAGAUAAGUUACAAGUAUUACAAAACAAAUGUGUUAGAUUUAUAAAAAAAUACUGUAUAUAGAUCAAAAGUUGACCAUAAUGUAAUGAAUAGUAUUGGUUAUGUUAAUAUUGAAAAUCGUGUUAAACAAUUGAGAUUAAACCAUGUUUAUAAUAUUUAUUACCACCAUUGUCCAAAUUAUAUGUAUACAAAUUUUACAAAGGUGAGACAUUUUCAUCAUCAUUUCACACGAAAUAGUGAUAACUUCUGGGUUCCACCAGUAAAGAGUCAACAAAAAGAUACAUUUUAUUUUAAUGGCAUACAAGAUUGGAAUAUGUUGCCAAAUAAUGUUAAAAAAAUAAAGAAAAUAAAGGAUUUCAAAAUUAGCGUCAAAGAGUACUUGACCAAAAGUUAUAGUGCGGCAGUGAGUUCAUCAGACUUCUUUUUAUAUUAUUAAGCUUAUUUUUUAUUUAAAUUAAUUUUAUAUGAAGUUUUUAUGUCAUAUUAAUUUGUGUGUUAUCAUUUUUUGUAUGUCGAAACUAUAAGCCGUUUACAUGAAGGGACCCACUGGAAACAAGCUCUAGAGCUUUCAUAGGUUAUCCCUGAUAAAAUAUCAGCAAAUUUUUUCCAUGCACUUAAGGAUACUACACUCAUAAAAUGCCAUUAUAUUUUACAAAGUAUGUGUUCGUAUUGUCUUUAUGUAUCGUAUAUAUUUAGUAUUGUAUUAACUCAUAUGCUUGAUAUUUUAUUGAAUAAAAUAUUAUUAUUAUUA